CUGCCACCAUGUAAGAUGUGUCUGCUUCCCCUUCUGCCCUGAUUGUAACUUUCCUGAGGCCUCCCCAGCCAUGUGGAACUGUGAGUCAAUUAAACCUCUUUUCUUUAUAAACUACCCAGUCUCUGGCAGCUCUUUAUAGCAGUGUGAGAACAGACUAACACACCAUCCCUAUAAACUUUGAACAUAAGGAGAUAGAGAAGCAUAAAUGUGAUAAGUUUCAUUUCCUAUGGGCUUGCGUGGAUUUCUUGGGGAUUUGAGAUGUAAGACAUGGACCAAUAACACAGAUUGCUGAGAUGAUGAAGCUGCAGAGAAGUUGACAUUCUACAGGAUGCUAUUCCAUCAGUGGAGAGCACGGAGAGAAAAGAUUUAGAAAUGCCUUUAAAUCCAAACUUAUGAGAAGUCUUCCAUGUGGAGGCAAUUACAAGGAUUAAAACAAAAUCACAAUGUUUAUCUCCAGGCAGAUACAAGCCUUUCAAAAAUAAAAUAGAAAAAAAAAGGGGUGCGGAACCAAGAGAAAUUUUAUCUCAUGUUCUGAAGUGGCAAAAACAGAGAUGUUUUCCCCCCAAUUAUCCAGAAUAAAAAUGUUUGGUCCUCCA
rnacentral:lncRNA from 10 species